CUCGUGCAUUUGUGAAACUGUUUUGAAGGCCUUUUGUUUAGAUUGAAUUGCAGCUAUAGAGUUAAGAACCACAAUUUACUUAGUCGACCUUACAGGUAUUUCAAAUAGUGUUGCAUUCGAGAAUCGUAACCCGCAUUGUUCAUGUGUUAAGGGAACUAGCUGCAAAUGGGGCAGCGGGAGGAUGCGAGUCAAAUCACCACAAGGAAUACUUACGAGUGGCUUUAAUGCUCAAGAGGCGGCACAAAGGACUAAAGACUCUGCCGAGCAGUCAUACAUUGGUGGUCUAUAUAGUGGCGUCUAUUUACUUAAGCUCAAGUAAUCUACAUAAUUUCUCUGACAAAGGAGCGGUUUGUGUUGACUUAAGCUUAAUCCUUAUUUUGGUUUCUAACCGAGCCGCACAACACAUGUAUAGCAACGUAUAGAUGGCUAACUCCUCGACCUGUGAAAGUCGUGUGGAUAUUUGGUUACAAGGCAUGUUUUGAACCUGAA